CUCCUCUCUGCUGUUGGUUUUUGAAUGCUACUUCGUAAGUGGAGAGAAGGCUUUCCUUUUCACUGACCUGUUCAGUCCCAGUUCAUCUUUACAUCCUAUUUCUGCCAUGGUUGCUUGUCACUUUUUGGCCAUGCUUCACCUGAAUUUCCUACUUCGCAUGUGUCUUCACACUUGGGGAUCUUCUAUGUGCAUUGAAACUUAGCACAAAUGUUUAAAGCAUGCUACUGCUAACAAGCACAACUUAUCCCUCUUCUAAGCAGCAACGAUAUUGUGUCUCUAACAAGGCAAACAUUUAUUUUCUAGUGAUUUUCAGCUUUUUGUCUUGAGCACAUGAAAAUGUAUCAACUCAUCUAACCCACGUAUAAUGUUCUGAACGUUUUCACUGCUGUCAUUUUCUACAGACUCCCCCUGUAUACUGCAGCUACGCAGCUCAGCAACUCUUCGCUUAGGCUGGACCACAAACACCCUAGGCAUUGACCUUUCUGGGUGUUUUAUGGUGGCACAUCACCCCUCCCUUGCCCAGGGCAGAGGGACUCACAACCAACCACUGACAGACAAUGCACGGGUUGGGACUUGGCGAACCCUUCGGGUGUGGUCAGAGGGUUUCUCACCCGUCAGACUGGCCCUGCCCAUUCGGGGCCCAUAAGUGUCAAUUUCUUGUACAUAUUCAUUCCAGGUGGGUAUGUAGUUGAAGUGUUUCGGAAAUCCCCAAUGUCCGCUGUACCUAACGGCCGUGCCAUGUGGCCAAGGCUCCCUGCGACCGCCCGGAAGUUGGCUUCGGCUGGUGCCAGGCCGCGGCGGCUCCGGGGAAGGGUUGGGGAAGGCCUCGACCCCUCUGGGCCGGGCAGCCCAGCACUGUGCUUCCCUCCCUCCUCAGCUCCCGCGGCCACAUCCGAGGAGGAGCAGGAGGAGGAGGAGGAGCAGGAGGAAGACAGCAGGGGCUGUUGGUGCCACCGCCCACUCUCACAGCCUGAGCCCUCCCCCGCCUUGGGCCUCAUCGGCCGCCGUCCGUCGCCUCAGGUGAAAGCGUAUCCCUCCGCAGCGGCCGCCCCCACGGCCGGGCUCGCAUCCCCACAGUCCCCGGAUGGAAACUGUUAUGGCCGCCAACAGCGACUGGCCGGGCUAUGGAGCGGGGCGAGGAGAAUAAAAUGGGGAAGUUCUAGAACCUUGAGAAUAAUUCAGCACUGCAGUCUUGCUUGCUGCAGGAACGAAGACUAGUCUCAAGAAUUCACUUAAA
rnacentral:lncRNA from 1 species